rnacentral:rRNA from 1 species
AACGAACGCUGGCGGUAUGCCUAACACAUGCAAGUCGAACGGCAGCACCGUAAGUGCUUGCUCUUACCGGUUGCGAGUGGCGUACGUGUGAGGAAUACAUCGGACUCUACUUUUUCGUGGGGGAUAACGUAGGUAAACUUACUCCAAUACCUCAUACUACCUACGGGUGAAAGCAGGGGAGCUUCUGACCUUUCGCGAGUGAAUGAGCCGAAGUCGGAUGGGCUAGUUGGCGGGGUAAAGGCCCACGAAGGCGACGAUCCGUAGCUGGUGUGAGGGGAUGAUCAGGCCCAGUGGAACUGAGCGGCGGUACUGGGUCCUACGGGAGGCAGCAGUGCGGAAUAUUGGAAGAAGGGCGGAAGCUUGCUCCAGGCAUACCGGGUGGGUGAAGAAGGCCUUCGUGUUGUAAAGCCCUUUUGUUGGGAAAGAAAAGCUGCAGGUCAAUACCACGCUGUUGUGACGGUACCUAAAGAAUAAGCACCGGCUAACUUCGUG